CGUACACCAGGAACACAUUUCUUUUACCAAAUACCCUAAAAUAGAAAUUAUCAAUGUCAUUAGUCCAUGUGAGAAACCUGAGGGUUUUCUCACGUCUACUCCCCCUGAAUCCUCUUUCCCGGUGGCCAGGGAAAGGCCAUCUCUUUUGGAUCCUGCCCCUUGGGGCGGACAAGCGAAGGAGGAUCACCUAGAUAGCCUAGACAGCUAAACUAAUCAAUGGAGCUAGACAAUUCCUCAAUUCAGAUAGCUGCAUGACCAUUGCCAGAGCAAUCAUAGGGGCUAGAUUGGACUACUGUAACGUCCUAUUUGCAGGAACCUCCAGUAAGAACCUAGAUAAACUGCAAGUAAUACAGAAUAAUGCCCUCAGAGCAGCACAGAACAUCCCAAAAAGGGACCACAUUAUAGCCGCCAGGAGAAAAGCUCACUGGCUCCCAAUCAAAGAAAGGAUCAUCUUCAAGACUCUCUCCAUCACACACAAAUGCCUGAGCAAGACUGCCCACCAAUACCUUUCCCAAAAAAUUGAAAGAACUAAAUCCAGCAGACCAACAGGAUCCAUCCAUGCUCACAAACCGACCAUACCAGGAGUGAAAAGAGCCCAAGGAGGGUGGGGUCAGCUUCCCAACAGUUGAAUUCAACCACUGGAACUCCCUCCCAGCAGAUCUAAGAUCAGAGAACGCAUACUGGGCCUUUCCGAAAGACCCUGAAAACUUGGCUGUUUGCCUAAACUCCCUGCCACCUGAAUGCCACCCCACAUGCACUCCACAUCCUGCUAUGUCCUACUCCUCUCCUAACUUAGGUCUACUCCCAAUGAUUGUUUAUCCACUCCCAUUGUAUAACCGCUCCAUCCCCUGAUAAGAACCAAGAUUUUGCAAAAAUGUAUGUAAAAUAAAUGUUACUGGUCGGCAACAGCGCCCUGAUGCUCGAGAGUUGAGGCAUUUUAUAAAUGUAAAAAAUUAUUAAAUGCGAGUGCCCAGUCGGCCAUUUUUGGUAAUCAGAACUGGCGCUGCAGGAUGAACUGAAUACCGGGUUAAGGCGCCUGAUGCCGACGCUCAUCAGACCCCAGAAAAGGUGUUGGUUGAUACAGACAGCAGGACGUUGGCCAUGGAAGUCGGAAUCAGCUAAGGAGUGUGUAACAACUCACCUACAGAAUCAACUAGCCCUGAAAAUGGAUGGCGCUGGAGUGUCGGGUCCAUACCCGGCGGCCUCCGGCACUGAGAGGCGCAGUGGCUAAGCCGCAACGAGUAGGAGGGCCGCUGUAGUGCGCACGGAAGCCCAGGGUGAGGGCCCGAAGGAGCCGCCGCAGGUGCAGAUCUUGGUGGUAGUAGCAAAUAUUCAAACAAGAACUUUGAGGCCGAAAUGGAGAAGGGUUCCAUGUGAACAACAGUUGAACAUGGAUCAGUCGGUCCUAAAAGAUAGGCGAGCGCUAUUCAAAAGGGACAAACAAUGUCCUCCGUGGCCCUCAGCCGAUCGAAAGGGAGUCGGGUUCAGAUCCCCGAACCAGAGUGGCAGAGAUGGGCACUCUCGUGGCAUCCAGUGAAGUAACAUAAACAAUCCUGGAGAAGCUAGUGGGAGCCCCAGGGAGAGUUAUUUCUUUUGUGAAGGGCAGGGUACCCUGGAAUGGGUUCGCCCGAGAGAAGGGCCCGAGCCUUGGAAAGCAUUGCAGUUCCAACGGCAUCCAGUGAGCUCUCGCUGGUCCGUGACAAUCCAGGGGAGAUGGUGUAAAUCUUGUGCCGGGCUGUACCCAUAUCUGCAGCAGAUCUCCAAGGUGAACAGUCUCUGGCAUUUUGGAACAAUGUAGGCAAGGGAAGUCGGCAAGUCAGAUCCAUAACUUCGAGAUAAGAAUUGGCUCUAAGGGCUGGGUCGGUCGGGCUGAGGCACGAAGCGGGCUGGGCGUGCACUGCGGCUGGCCGAGGCGUCUCCCCCCCGGGGUCGGCGCCGAAUCUGGACGAGAGCCAGGCCCUUCCUGUGGAUCACCCCAGCUGCCGUGGUUGCUUCACUCCAUUCCCUCGCGGAGUUUGGGGCCAGGCGUUCUGCCUCGGUCGACACCUAGCAGCUGACUUAGAACUGGUGCGGACCAGGGGAAUCUGAUUGCUUAAUUAAAACAAAGCAUUGCAAAGGCCCGCAGUGGGUGUUGACGGGUUGUGAUUUCUGCCCAGUGCUCUAAAUGUCAAAGUGAAGAAAUUCAAUGAAGCACGGGUAAACGGCGGGAAUAACUAUGACUCUCUUAAGGUUGCCAAAUGUCUCGUCAUCUAAUUAGUGACAUGAAUGAAUGGAUGAACGAGAUUCCCACUGUCCCCACCUACUAUCUAGCAAAACCACAGCCAAGGGCAGAACCAGCGGGGGAAAAAGACCAUGUUGACUCUAGUCUGGCACUGUGAAGAGACAUGAGAGUUGUAAGAUAAGUGGGAGGCCCUCGGGCCCCCAGUGUAAUACCACUACUCUUAUUGUUUUUUUCACUUACCCGAUGAGGUGGGGGGGCGACUCCCAUGGGGCUCUCGCUUCUGGCUCCAAGCACCCGGCAGCAGCCAGGCACAACCCGCUACAGGGACAGUGGCAGGUGGGGAGUUUGCGUUACACCUGUCCAACGAUAACGCAGGUGUCCUAAGGCGAGCUCAGGGAGGACAGAAAUCUCCCACGGAGCACAAGGGCAAAAGCUCGCUUGAUCUUGAUUUUCAGUAUGAACACAGACCGUGAAAGCAGGGUCUCACGCUCCUUCUUUUUGGGUUUCAAGCAGGAGGUGUCAGAAAAGUUACCACAGGGUUAACUGGCUUGUGGCAGCCAAGUGUUCGUAACAAAGUUGCUUUUUGAUCCUUCGAUGUCGGCUCUUCCUAUCAUUGUGAAGCAGAAUUUACCAGGCGUUGGAUUGUUCACCCACUAAUAGGGAACGUGAGCUGGGUUUAGACCGUCGUGAGACAGAUUAGUUUUACCCUACUGAUGAUGUGUUGUUGCAAUAGUAAUUCUGCUCAGUACAAGUGGAACCACAGGUUCAGACAUUUGGUGUAUGUGCUUGGCUGAGGAGCCAAUGGGGCAAAGCUACCCUCUGUGGGAUUAUGCCUGUCAUGCGCUGGUGAACCCUCCCGAGCUUUCUCCUCACCUGUGUCUUCAAUGGAACUGUCUUGAGUCUCUGACUUCUUCUUGCGGUGGGGCUGCUUUGGUUCCUUUAUCUUCUUCCCCUUCAUUUCGUGGAGGUAGGGGAAGCUUCCUCGGAGGCCACCUUGGCCCAAAGGGUUACCCAA
rnacentral:rRNA from 1 species